rnacentral:rRNA from 1 species
CUUGGUCAUUUAGAGGAAGUAAAAGUCGUAACAAGGUUUCCGUAGGUGAACCUGCGGAAGGAUCAUUAUCGUACAAAAUGUGAGAGGGGCAUGCGAGGGCUGUCGCUGACUCAAAGUCGUGCACGCCCGAGUGUGUCGCCUCACAUAAUAAUCCAUCUCACCCUUUGUGCAUCACCGCGUGGGCACCCCUUUGGGAUCAUCUCGGAGGGGGCUCGCGUUUUCACACAAAACCCCCCUUUUAAAAGUGUAGAAUGACCUCAUUUAUGCGCUAACCCGCAAUCAAUACAACUUUCAACAACGGAUCUCUUGGCUCUCGCAUCGAUGAAGAACGCAGCGAAAUGCGAUACGUAAUGUGAAUUGCAGAAUUCAGUGAAUCAUCGAAUCUUUGAACGCACCUUGCGCCCCCUGGUAUUCCGAGGGGCACACCCGUUUGAGUGUCGUGAAAACCUCAACCUCCUUGGUUUCUUCUGGAGACCAAAGCAGGCUUGGACUUUGGAGGCCUUUGCUGGCACCUCUCGCCAGCUCCUCUUAAAUGAAUUAGCAGGGUCCUCUUUGCUGAUCCUCGACGUGUGAUAAGAUGUUUCCAUGUCUUGGUUUCUGGCUCUGUCACCUUUGGGACCCGCUUCUAACCGUCUUCAACCUUGCGUUGAGACAACGUUCGAGCAUGUCUCCCUUCUCGGGAAGCUCCCUCGACCCCACGAACCCUUGACCUCAAAUCGGGUGAGACUACCCGCUGAACUUAAGCAUAUCAAUAAGCGGAGA